rnacentral:rRNA from 1 species
UACAGAGGUCUCAACCGUUGUUCGGAUUCAUUGGGCGUAAAGGGUGCGUAAGCGGUCGCGUAAGUCGGAUGUGAAAUCCCGGGGCUCAACCCCGGAACUGCAUUCGAUACUGCGUGGCUAGGGUACUGGAGAGGAGACUGGAAUUUACGGUGUAGCAGUGAAAUGCGUAGAUAUCGUAAGGAAGACCAGUGGCGAAGGCGAGUCUCUGGACAGUUACCGACGCUGAGGCACGAAGGCCAGGGGAGCAAACGGG